rnacentral:misc_RNA from 1 species
AACAUCGCGCACCUGCGGGAACCUGCGGAGGGAUCAUUACUGAGUCACGUGCUCAAACAACCCUUCUGUGGACCUGAAAUAAACCGUUGCCUCGGCGGGCGGUCCCCCCAAGCAAACCCCACGUGGUGGGUUAGGGGACCAGACAGUCCGGCACGCUUAAGGCGUCCGGCGCCAGCCGCUGGCCCCAAACAAUUAAACUCUAGUAACCUUUACCUUCUGAGUUUCAAUAUUUAAAAAUAA